rnacentral:rRNA from 1 species
AUACAGAGGGUGCGAGCGUUAAUCGGAAUUACUGGGCGUAAAGCGCUCGUAGGCGGCUUGUUAAGUCGGAUGUGAAAGCCCCGGGCUCAACCUGGGAACUGCAUUCGAUACUGGCAGGCUAGAGUAUAGUAGAGGCAAGUGGAAUUCCGGGUGUAGCGGUGAAAUGCGUAGAUAUCCGGAGGAACAUCAGUGGCGAAGGCGACUUGCUGGACUAAUACUGACGCUGAGGAGCGAAAGCGUGGGGAGCAAACGGUAUUAGAAACCCCGGUAGUCC